CCUAAAGGCAUAAUGAAAGUAAAAGUCAUACUUGUGUUGACUGAGGGAGGAUAAAUUAUAUUAAGAUAUAAUUUCGCACUCCCAGGGCGUUUCAUUCUUAUUAUAAGAAGAAGCGCACCUAGAGCGUACACGUUGGGACCCGAAAGAUGGUGAACUAUGCCUGGUCAGGAUGAAGUCAGGGGAAACCCUGAUGGAGGUCCGUAGCGAUUCUGACGUGCAAAUCGAUCGUCGGAACUGGGUAUAGGGGCGAAAGACUAAUCGAACCAUCUAGUAGCUGGUUCCCUCCGAAGUUUCUCUUAGGAUAGCUGGCACUCAUGUUUAUUAAUACGAGUCUCAUCUGGUAAAGCGAAUGAUUAGAGGCAUUGGGGCCGAAACGACCUCAACCUAUUCUCAAACUUUAAAUGGGUGAGAUCUCUGGCUUGCUUAAAUUAAUGAAGCCAUGAGAUUUCGGAUCAGAGUGCCAAGUGG
rnacentral:rRNA from 1 species